GCCACCCGUCCUCACCCCUCCCUCCCGGCGGGCCCCGAGUCCCAGGAGCCCCGUGCAGGGCCCCUCCCCCUCGAGCAGGUGGUCGGCCCCGCAAAAGCCAGUCGGCCGACGGACAAGUCGGUGCAAAUUCAGGGAACGUUGUUAAACUAUUGGGUUUUUCCCCCCCAGUUUCAGGCACUGAACAGCCAGCAGAUUUAAGAAAUCUGGAUGACGAUGUGGAUACAGGAUUUGAUGAAAUUCUGGUCCGAGAGAUGUUGGAGCCAAAUAAAUCAUCAUUUCUUCAAACACAAAGACUCCCACCAACAUCGACAAAGACUCUGACAAAGAAAAAAAGCAAGUACACAUUUCUUAAAGCCUAAUUACAUGUGUUCCUAGAGGUCUGUGGUACAUAUGCACAAUCCCAUCAUGGUCGCAUUCUUUGAGGCCAGCUACUUCUGGGGCAAAAGCAGAUGGAAAUGUGGAUGAAACAGUCGUCCCAAACAUCUGCUGUAAUCUUCCCUAGACUGGGGAGGUCACACCUAGACAGGCAGAGACAAGUCCCUUUAUCCCGGCUGGUCUCUGGGUGCACGUGCAAGAAGGGCCUCGUGCUUGGGAUGCAGGUGGGGUUUAGCCACUGCGGGAACCCGGGGCGUACGGAAAUAGGAGCUUUCGACCACCCAGCACGUUUGAUGCUCACCUAAACCUCUGAGAGCAGGGCAGUGACUACGACCCCAUCCGACAGGGGCUAAAAGUAAGGUCUGGAAGAGGACUGGCCCGAGGCCCCAGAGCUAGUAGUGAACAAAACAAUGUGCUUUCCCAAAGUGCAGCUUCCUGUGGUCCAAAUGCACACAGAUAAGUCAAAUAGCACCCUGAGACCCAAGACGGAGCAUUUGACCCUUGCUCAGGAGAGAGCAGCAUGGCAGAAAUCUACAUGCAGCGCGUGAAAACGCAUUCAGCAGCAGGGACGUUCAGCAUUUUCUUGAAAAUUUACAUCCAGAUGGAAGUUCCAAUACCUCAUGGAACAUCUGCUAAACAGCUGGGUUCAAGGAGGUCAGAUGAAGCCUGACUGUUUACAUACUAGGUGGCCAGAGCACGUUUUCAGUAGAAGUUGAAAACUGUGUUAGCAUCCCAAGCUAAUGCUUUAAAGUACAGUAUGGAUGAAAACUUUCGCGGGAGUGUACAUUUAUGUUUUCCCUCAUUUUUUUCCCAUGCUGUUCAUCAAAGAAGCCCGUAUUAGAAUUAAUUAUCAGACUGACACUAAGACGAUGCAACAUGAAGAUCAAUUCUCUGCCAGGAAAGAAAAUGAACUCUUCUUUAAUGGAAAUUCUCUCCAGCAAAGAAGAAAGAAGUGUAAAAGUUUGUUCGAGGGAGGCAAAAACCACAAGGGGAUGCGGAACCUAGCCUGAGAAACCAGGACUGCUCACUCACCCGCCGCCUCCAGGCAGAA